CCUACGGGAGGCAGCAGUGAGGAAUAUUGGUCAAUGGGCGCGAGCCUGAACCAGCCAAGCAGCGUGAAGGAUGACUGUCCUCCGGGUUGUAAACUCCUUUUAUAAAGGAAUACAGUGAGGCACGUGUGCCUUUUUGUAUGUACUUUAUGAAUAAGGAUCGGCUAACUCCGUGCCAGCAGCCGCGGUAAUACGGAGGAGCCGAGCGUUACCCGGAUUUGUUGGGUUUAAAGGGAGCGUAGCUGGGUUGUUAAGUCAGUUGUGAAAGUAUGCGGCUCAACGGGAAAAGUGCAAUGGAUUCGGGCAGACUUGAGUGCAGAAGAGGAAAGCGGAAUUCAAGGUGUAGCGGUGAAAUGCGUAGAUAUCACGAGGAACACCAGGGGCGAAGGCAGC
rnacentral:rRNA from 1 species